CCAACACCAAAACAACCAAAAAAUUUCUUCAUAAGAACUUUAGAAAAUUGGGAUAUUUCUAUUAUCGUUCACUUUAUCUUGGAAUGUAAUUAAUCAUAUUUCUUUAUUUUUUAAAGAAAAUUGUAGCUAGCAUUAAUAUAAUGAAAAGAGUUAAUAAGUUAUUCAAGUCCAACCAAUAAUUGUAAGUUAGAGUUAUAGAAUAUUUAGGCUAUAAAAUUUUAACUAUAAAAUAUUACAAAGCUUUGAUAUGUUGGUUUGAAGGAUGGUGUUGAAGCUUGGGUUGGUACAAUUUGCUCAAAAUGUUGUUGAAUUUGCUAGGAAACAUUUAUGAAGUGAUUAAAUAAACUAAUAAAGGUCAACAAGCCUUGGUUUUUUUCCCCAUGUAGUUGUUGUAUGUUUAAUUAAAAUUAAUGUAUUUAUCUUCUUUUAUAUCGGGGUAAUAAAAAGUAUGGAGUCUCUCCCAUAUUACUUUGUUUCAGAAGAUGUAUUAAAGUGGGCAUAAAAGGUUCAAGUAGUUUCCAUACAAAAUCUAAAUGUGUAAGCUAUCUUAUGAGGAUGAUGAUGAUGAUGAUGAUGAUAAUUAUUAUUAUUAUUAUUUACUCAAUCUCUUAUUUCUUUCAACUUCAUAUUUAUUGUAAAUAUUGAUUCAUUGACUACUUAAUAAUUUAAUUUAGUUCAAGUUUGACUCCAACUAUUUGUAGAUUAAUUUAAAGAGUUUUGGAUGCAAAAUUUGUGCAAGUGAAUCGAGGAUG
rnacentral:lncRNA from 1 species